GAUUGUAGUCUGCAACCCGACUACAUGAAGCUGGAAUCGCUAGUAAUCGCGGAUCAGAAUGCCGCGGUGAAUACGUUCCCGGGUCUUGUACACACCGCCCGUCACACCAUGGGAGUCGGAAAUGCCCGAAGUCUGUGACCCAACCGGAAGGAAGGAGCAGCCGAAGGCAGGUCUGAUGACUGGGGUGAAGUCGUAACAAGGUAUC
rnacentral:rRNA from 1 species